UCUAGUCUAGAUUCCCAGGUUUCUUGCGGUUCACCCUCACAUCCCACCAAGUUCAGCAAGCUGCCUCCUCUUACCUCUUCUUCUCCUUGUUCUUGACAGUAGGGAAGGGAAGGACCGAGAGAUUCCAAGCAGGGAGGGACAGCAUGUGGAGGGAUAGAAGAGGAGGAGGAGGGCGAAAUGUCUAGAAGAAGGUUGAUGGAACUUACAAAUCCAAAUCCUGCAGUCUUGUAAAUUGGUCCAACCAUCGUGUAACCUUUACAGUACUUUGAAAGGAAUUGCUUGAUAUAUGGGAUUUCAUGGACAAUGGCCGCAACACCACCACUGUGGCUUCCUUUCUUCAGGGCCUCAACAUACUCAUCUGAAAACCCAUACAGCCAUUUUUCUACUUAAAAUGAGGAGAAAGUGUUCGAGGAAUCAGUUACGCAACUGUGGGCAAAAACUAGCGUCGAGAAAGAGAAGUAGAAGAUUGUCCCAAGCUGCUGGCUAACUGGACCCCUAAACUCCAUGUUGAUGCGAUGUUCGAGCACCCACACAACAAAUCCAGUGUAGAAGAAAGCAGCCAAGCUCCCCAACCACAAAUCAAAGAAAUAAUUGCAAAGGCAUAAAAAUUCUGAUACUAAUCAGAUAACAAAAGAUAACUGGAUAGCUACCUGCAGAAGCCGCCUGCACCACAUCGUUACCCGAAUCUUUGGUGUGGAGAACCAGUCUCGUGGUGUAGUUGCUGUUGAUGGAGUAGAAGUCAUCGAUCGCCAUCGAUAUGCUAGUUUGCCCCAUUUUUCCGACCAAGGUGGUCAGGUCAAGGAUUACUCCAACAUGAAAGGGAUUUUCCAUAAUGUUGCUGACAUUUCUCUGUGCUGCUGAAAAGAGAAUGAACAUGAACAGGAAGACAAUGACACCAGUAGGUUUCUCCAUUUUGAGCUACAGACUGUUUGCUCAAUUACUGUGCCGAUUUGCCUUUUAUAAGAUCUCUUAGGAAGCUAAAAGAAGUCA